rnacentral:tRNA from 1 species
GAGGGUAUAGUUCAGUGGCAGAGUGCAUGCUUGGCAUGCACAGGGUCCUGGAUUCAAUCCCCAGUACUUCCA